AAAAAGAAAGAAAGAAAUCAGCCUAGUAACCAACGAGGAAUCACAGAGGGGAUGGGCAUCUUUGUACAGAAGACCGGACGAGGCCCAGAGGAAGCCGCCGGCUCACAUGGCAGCUGGCGCCAGGGCUGGGACGGGGACCCAAGGCUCCUGACCUCGGGUUUUCUUUGUACAACAACCUGCUACUAUAUUUUUUAGAGAAAUAAAUUAUGCUCCGUGCUGGUGGGAAGCCUUUUAAACAAAAAGAAAAAAGGAAACGGCCAAGAUGCAUCUUAAUUAGAAAGUGCUUGGGAAAAAAAAAUCUUCGCGGGAGGCGGGUACACAGCACCGUGCCACGAACGGUCAGCAGCAUCAGAGUGUGAGAACCCAGCAGGCUAAUUUAGAGCCUCCAGCGUCCGGAUGGAGCGGCCACGGCUCCCCAAACACGUGACUGCCCAGAAGGUUUGCUCACUGCCCUUACGCCUGACCUGUUCCAUCCAAGCAAUUGCAACAUCGCCACUUCCAAGGAAGAUGACAGCUCUUUCUCAAAACAAACUCAAAGCCUGGGUCAGGAAUAUGCACCACAGCCUGCUAAAAAUCAGUGACAACAUGGCCUGACGCUGAUUUUCCCAAGAACUAUGGGAUCCUUGGUGUUUUGGUUUUGGUUUUCAGAAAAAAGAAACCGUCCACAAAGUAGAUAGGGUGUUUUCAGCCAGAGAAGUCAACGUGCUCUGUUACCCAAUAGCAGGGGAGGAGGGAAAGGGCCCCGGGAAGGGGACGCGUGCACGCCAGGCAGGGUACUGGGGCAACCUAGGCCUGCCCCCCUCGCCGUCACAGGUGAGUAAACUGAGGUUCAGAGAAUUCCAUGACUUGCCCAGUUUCAUUUGCUUGGUAAACGCUAAUGAGGACGUGAACUCAGGCGUACCUCCAAAGUCAAAAGGCUGCCUCCCAGAAACAAGCUCAGAGAUCUGCGGGAACAACAUGGAGCUCUGUGGAAAAACGCAGAAGCAGGUGGCUUUCGCAAACUGUCUCUCUGGCAAAGUGUGCAGUUCCCUAGGUAGCCAUACUGGCAGAGUAACUCUCACCCCCACAAAGAGAGCCAGGAAGACUAGGGUGCGUGUGUGUGUGGUGGGGGGGGAGACUGUGAGCAUUUUGCAGGAGGCACUACUGAGUCACACGCCAGAAAGCAAUUGUAAAAAUGACAUCUUGGGACCUGGAUUUAUUCCCUCUUCAACAUCAUAUUUGCUCCGUUUACAAGGCAAAGAUGAUUUUUCUCUCUGCCAAGGCCGAACAUUCCCAGCCUGUGAUCUGAAAAUCAUGCUGUGUUCAUUUUGCCUCUUAACUCACCCAAGGCCAUAAAUCAUCCCUCGAAAUGGGGAUUUGGUUGGCAGUUCUAUCGGGGAUUCACAGGGCAGAGGAGGAAUCCAAUUUGGGGCUCUCACGGUCAUCCUGAGCCGGCUGGGAGCAGGGCAGCAUUGCUUUUGGCCACACAAGUGCCUCCAUGCUCCAUGGAGAAGACGCCCGCGAGGCAGAUCUCCUGACCAAGCAGGGCCGUUGCUCUCCUGGGUUAGUUUGCGGAUUCCAAGUGCACUUUGUGACAAAGGAGGAGGUCAAGGCAACUGGAGAGAGUGAGAGGAACAGAGAGCACAGCAGGAUCCAGCCCUUCCCCAGCCAAACCCAGGACGAGGGGCUAGGGGAAAACAGGGCAGGCGGAGACUGAGGUGGGCGAUUCAUUCAUUCCAAAAUAUUGAUUAAGAGCCUACUGCCUGUGAUGUGCCAGGCACUGUUUCUUUCCUUGGAAUAGAAUUAUUUUCACAAUCAUCUUUUAACAAAUAGAAUAACAGUGGAGGCAGCUUACAGUUAAUGAGUGUACUCGGCAGGUGUUUCACACACAUCGGCUUUAUCUGAUCUUUAUAGCUGCUGGGUGAAGUAGGUAUUAUCCUCAUUGUACAGAUGGAGAAACCGAGGUGCAGAGAGAUUAAGAAACCUGGGGCACCUGGGUAGCUCAGUUGGUUAAGUGUCUGACUUCAGCUCAGGUCAUGAUCUCACAGUUUGUGAGUUCGAGCCCCACACUGGGCUGGCUGCUGUCAGCACAGAGCCCCCUUCAGAUCCUCUGUCCUCUUCUCUCUCUGCCCCUCCCCUGCUCACUCGUUAUCUCCCUCAAAAAUAAAUAAACAUUUAAAAAGAAAGAAAGAAAGAAACUUGCCCCUGGUCACAUGACUAGUAAGUGGCAGAGCCAGGAUUCGAACUCAGGCAGGUGAGGUUUUCAAAUCCAUACCUCUCUUAGCUCAUUAUGCUGACGGCCAGUGGAGUGUUUUGCAAUCAUGUGUUUUCAGGUUAUUGGGCAGGGAUAAAAUAUCUUCCUAUGCUGGGAGAACAGAGGAAAAUCUGAGUCUUUUUUCCAGGUCCUGAAUCCUCAGCUGAUGUCCACUAGAAACUGAUGCCUGGAGAUGGGCUGCAGCAGACUCUGGCCAUGAAGUACAUGUCUUCUCCAGCUUCCAUGAGGACAGUGGAGUAGAAGAUACAGCACCACCAGCCCCGAAACCAUCCUUCUGCCCUGUUUCCUUCUCUGUGGCCACCGUAAGUGGUCACUGGGGGACAGGGCAGCACGGUGGUUUAUGGGUUGGUUUUUGGAGUCUGACAGCCUUGUCAUGAAGUCUCUGCUUGAUAACUGUGUGACUAAGCAAGUCCUAAAACUCACCUAGUCUCAGUUUCCUUAUCUGUGAAAUAGGGAUAAAAUGGGUAGUUUAUUCCUUCCAAGGGCUAUGAGGAAGACAUAAGAGAAUGCAUGUGCAGGGAACCCCCAAAUCAUACACUCCCUGACAGUGUCCUCCUGCUAAAGCUCCACAAACUCCUAGCUCCUGGUGGUGAUCUGGCCAUGACCGUAGGCCUGCAUUUUGACAAUCCGGCCUCGGUCAAUUUAGCUAAUCUCAGAGUGGGUGGUGCAAAGAGCCCUGGGCUGGGACUCAUGCCGAGAGUCUGAGCCUCCGUCCUGCAAUUAAUAGGCUGUGUCACCCCGAAAGUCCCUUCCCCUCUCUGAGCUUGGCUUCCCCCACACUCAGAUGAAGAAGUAGGACCUGCCUUCAAAGAGUCCCACUGGUGGCACCCUCCCAAGACUCUGCGCUCGUGCCGAUUUUCCCUUCUGCCAAGGCAAGAUGAAGUUAUCAUGGCUCACUCGGACUUCUUGGGAGGAUUAGUGCUCGUUAAGUGCUUCAAGGCUGGCAGCUGGCACCGAUGCAAGGUGUCACUUACUACCUGCCCGGAAAUUCUUAUCCUGGCAGGAGGCUGAUUUAUUCCAUGGCCUUGAACCUUAACCUUCCCCUGCCUCUUCCCUGUUAAAAAUUCCUCUGUCAGCUGCUUCAAUGAAGGAGCGAACGGGAUGCUGUCCACCAGUGGGCUGCCAACCCAUGAUCUCUGCCAUGGGUGCUCAAGGGCUGGGAAAACAGGGCAGGCUUGGAAAGCCCUGGAGCCCUCAGGUGGCCCCCUGAGCCCAGGGGUCUUGGGCAUGCUCCAGUCAAAACAGGAGGGGCACAUACUGUUCUAAGGGACUCACAUCAUCCUCACAUCAGCUGACUUGAAGAACGCCAGGCAUGAAUAUGAGCGCUUCUGUGUCUCAGCUCCUUUAGCUCUCAAACCAAUCCUGUGAGUAGCUAGUACUGUUGUCCCAACUUAUAGCUGGGACACUGAGGCCCAGAAAGGUUAAACUUGCCCACGAUCACACAGCUAAUCAGUGUGGAGCUGCAUGCAAAUGCAAGCCGUGUGGCCCCUGAGUCCCAUGCUCCUCAGCUAGCUCAUUUGAUGUCCUCCAACUCCUAGCAGCAGCCCUUUGCAUAGGUAAGGAAGCUGGGCCUCUGGGCACCGAGCCUCUGAGAGUUACCAGCGAUAAGAGCACUGCCAUCGAGUGCCUGCUCUGGGUCUGGCUCAGGGCUAGGCCUUUGUCUCCAGUCUGUCACCACAGCCCCAGGAGACAGGGGCCUCUGCCCCACUCCACAGUCUGAGGCCACACAGCUACCAAGUGGCAACACAGAGGCCCUGCUCAGGCAGGCUUAGAUCCAAAGUCCACGCUCUUUCCACCACCUGGCUGGACACUAACAGGGACGUUCCGGUGACAUCUCAGAGGACGGGGAAAGAAGCGGAUACCUGCCGUGGCCUGGGCCACAAGGCAAGGAGCAGGCUGUGUCCUUACCCACAGCCCCGGGGUCUUGGGAACAAUUUCGGACAGGGCCUGCUGAGCCGGAUGUUAGUAAAAAGGAAGCCACUUUGAUACUGAAUUGCUUAGGACACGAACACUGGCUUGAGAGACACCUCGCUCAGUGGUCUCGCUCUCAGAGUGAGAACAGAUUCAGGGAGGGGUGCACGGGCAGCUGAGAGGGGAACCAACGUGGUGAAAUGCGGAGGAGGGCCGCACAGGACACCACGCUCGGCAUCUGAUGUUCUCCCUGCAGAGCCAGGCGCCAGUGUGAACCCAUCACUCCUCCCCGCAUGCAGCCCUCUUGGCCUUGCAGGCCAGGAAGAGGGGACUGCAAGAGCCAGCGUCCAAACGACUCGGCCGGGUGGGGCAGGGUGGGCACUGCUCCCACCCGACCUUCUCGGCGGGGCUCAGUUUACGGCGAAGUCACGGAAGACGGCAGCGGCCAGAGCCCAGCAACGAGGCCACCCAGCGGCCCACGUGAGUCCAGAAAAAGAAGUGGCAGGGUGACAAGCAGCUGAAUUCAGGCCAGUUCACCUCCUUCUGUCUUCGGGAACAGUCUGGCUUCAAAGCCCCUCAUGGAUCCAGUCCAAACCAGAACCUCUUCCUCCUCUGCAUUCCCAUAAGCCUCUGUCUCAUAAGACACACAUGCGGUCGCCACGGUCAUAGCUACUACCCACUUGGCAGGUUCUCCGUGUCAGGUAGGCCCUGGGCUGGGGCUCUGAGGUCUUCCUUAGCUCCUCUGUGCAGAAAAACUCAGGAUCGUAGAGAGAUGACUUGCCUAAGCUCACACAACCAGGAGCUGGUAAAUAAACACUCGUUGAGUGAAAGAGUAAACUGAGACCAGCUCUCCCUGCCCAGUACCCGGGCCCCUGCCCACCCUCCUCUCCCAGGAGCCAGCCGCCCACUGCCACUUCUCUGCUGGCGGCAGAAGAAAGACGCUGCAUCACUGCCAGGACUGUUGCAAACACUGGACGAUGUGGCACCGGGGGUCCUGCUAAGGCUGCUCUGGGAGACAGAUGCCCGGGGAACCUCAGGACCUCCCAUGGCCUCACCUGGGCAACCGCUGACUGCAUUUGUUAUGCUGUAAAUCGUAAAUCACUCGUACACGCUUGGCCCUCUACGUGGUCAUACGUGCUCACACAGAAGUCCAGUGUGAAGGACGGACGAGCAGGGGCCCAGAGAGGCAAAGUGACUUGGAUCUGGCCACACAGUGCAGGGCAGAGUGAGGACCUGUACCCAGGUCCAAGUUUCUUGCCACCAUUCCAGCUGCCCACUCUCCAUCAGGUCUGGUGACUGAAGAGGGGCUGAAGAGUUGAGAUGCAAAUGGCAGCCUUGAGGAAUGUUUACACAAGGGGAGGUGGCUUAGCCCGAUCCUCCCUGGAGUGCUCCCCGUGGUGCUCCCUCUGUCCCCAUGGAUGGUCUGAGCAACAGCUAUGCCCCUGCUGCGCAGUUUCAGAAAUCAGCCUCCCCCGACUUCCACCAAUUCCCCGAAAAUUCGCACACUGCCUCCGUGGUUCCAGCCCCGAUGUACACCAGGAGCCAAAGGUGUAACAACUCUGAGGAGACUCACGCCAGCCGCCUUUCCCCCGGGCUGAUGGUGGGGAAGGUCUGUUCUAAGGCAGGGAGGACAAUCAGGCUCCUCAACAGAAAUCUGCACAUUUCAUAUUUGAGGUUAAGGAAACAUCUGUCUUCCUCUCCUCUGACUCAAGAGUCCUCCGUAGCAAUCUAUGCUAAGACAACAUUUUAUGCACAAAGAUGGUAACUGCUGAAUUGUUUUUAAUAGCAAAAAAAUGGAAACGGCUUCUGUCCAACGUUAGCAGGAUAGUUAAAUGAACUACGGCACAUCCAUGCAUUAAUUGCAACCAUUAAAAACAUUCUUUAUGAAAAAAAUUUGAAUAAGUUAGGGAAAUACCUAUGAAUGUAACAUUAAGCCAAAACAGAGAGAGAUGGAGAGAGAAAGAGGACAUGGAAUUGCAUACAGAGAGGGAAAAAAAGUACAGAGAAGACUGGAAGGAAGUGAACCAAGAUAUCAACACAGGCUGCAUCCGGGUGGCAGAACGAGUUGUUUGUUUUCUGUUUUACACCUUUUGAUACUUUUUCUUUUCUCCUACAUUCCUGUGAUAAUCAGAGAAAUAAAAGCAGCUACCCAAAUUCUUUCUUUCUCUCUCUCUUCCUUUUCCACCCCCCCCGCCCCCGAGACACACACACGCACGCGCGCGCACCCUGAGUGAAUUAUCUGAACGUCCAGAAAGGAUGUGAUGCUGACUGGUUACAGGGAGGAAAGCAGGUCCUGUGUCUCUUUUCCCGCAACACAAAUGCUUCUAAUAAGACCAUACACACAGAGGCCAUUCCUUUAAAUUUGUCUUCAAGGUUUUCCUGGGAGGGGAGCCUGGGUGGCUCAGUUGGUUAAGUGGCCGACUCCUGAUACCGGCUCAGGUCGUGAUCUUGCGGUCGUGAGAUCAAGCCCUGAGUCAGGCUCCACACUGAGCAUGGAGCAUGCCUGGGAUUCUCUCUCUCUCUCGCUCCCUCUGCCCCUC